rnacentral:rRNA from 1 species
AGAGAGAGACAUGCGCGCAUAUCAAUAAGCGGAGGAAAAGAAACUAACAAGGGAUUCCCCUAGUAACGGCGAGUGAAGCGGGAAGAGCUCAAAUUUGAAAUCUUAAAGGGUUUCCCUUUACGAAUUGUAGUUUAAAGAAGUGUUUUCUGUUGAGGUUUUGGUAAAAGUUCUUUGGAAUAGGACAUCAUAGAGGGUGAGAAUCCCGUAUUUGACCUUUACUUUCAACUUUGUGAUACACUUUCAAAGAGUCGGAUUGUUUGGGAAUGCAGUCCAAAAUGGGUGGUAAAUUUCAUCUAAAGCUAAAUAUUGGCGAGAGACCGAUAGCGAACAAGUACCGUGAGGGAAAGAUGAAAAGAACUUUGAAAAGAGAGUUAAACAGUACGUGAAAUUGUCAAAAGGGAAGCGUUUGACACCAGUGUUGUUUUUCUGAAAAUCAAUUAAAGGACUGUUUAUGCUAAGUUGUUUAGACUUUAUCAGCUAACUGUUUAGUUUUGAGCUUUUCUUUAAUGCACUUUUCAGUUAACAAGUCAACAUCAAUUUCUUUUGCUGUAAAAAAGCUUGAGGAAGGUGGCUUGAGAUUCGUCUUAAGUGUUUAUAGCCUCUUGCCUAUGCAGUCGGAGAGAUUGAGGUCUGCAGCGUAGAUCCUUCGGGGCUAAAUGCAUUUGUGCUAAGUUAUAGCAUUUUAUAGACAACUUGUUGACUAUGAUUUGUCUUGUAGCUUACUCGCUUAUGUUAUUUUACCUACGCUUAGGAUGUUGAGCGCAUGUCUCUCUCU